CGGCGGAUCAGCCCGCGCCCCGUAAAAAGGGACGGCCCGCCCGAGGACCCCUAAACUCUGUUUUUAGUGGAACUUCUGAGUAAAACAAACAAAUAAAUCAAAACUUUCAACAACGGAUCUCUUGGUUCUGGCAUCGAUGAAGAACGCAGCAAAAUGCGAUAAGUAAUGUGAAUUGCAGAAUUCAGUGAAUCAUCGAAUCUUUGAACGCACAUUGCGCCCGCCAGUAUUCUGGCGGGCAUGCCUGUUCGAGCGUCAUUUCAACCCUCAAGCUCAGCUUGGUGUUGGGACUCGCGGUAACCCGCGUUCCCCAAAUCGAUUGGCGGUCACGUCGAGCUUCCAUAGCGUAGUAAUCAUACACCUCGUUACUGGUAAUCGUCGCGGCCACGCCGUAAAACCCCAACUUCUGAAUGUUGACCUCGGAUCAGGUAGGAAUACCCGCUGAACUUAAGCA
rnacentral:rRNA from 1 species